rnacentral:lncRNA from 1 species
CGCAGAGAGAAGCAAGUUAGGAGCUUCCAAUAUCCUUCUCUCUUAGGAGACUAAGCAGCUCGGCUCAUUGUCUCCCAGCGAGAGGUCAGUGCCUCUCUGGUGUGCACUGUUUGCUCCAUCCCUUAGGACAUUCUCCUCCGGCCAGGUCCUUGCUCCCUGCCCCGGGGCACCUGCUUUUCUGGGACAAGUGCCAUCUGGAAUCAGGCGGUUUCCUCACUGUGUGCCUAUUUCUGGACAAAGGAGAAGAGAAUUGGAUCAGAUGCAGGCAUCCUCUCCCAUAUCCUCCAGCUGCCUGGCAGACCCAAUGAAGAUGCCCCACUCCCGCUCAGCUGGCUUACUUGGCCGCUGGGAGUGGGACACGUGUGGAAUUGCACCCCAACUUCCUGCACAACACCAUCAGUCAAUCAGAUACUCGGGCCACGCAUGGAGACAAUGUCCUGAAACGCAUCCUUGUGGCUCCCCCCUCCUCGGUUCUUGCAUCGGUCUUGAGCUGGCUCCUCUUGUGGCAGCUCAGUGGCUGCAGCCUGUCCAGAGCCCCCAGUUGUCCCCACACCACCUGGAGCAGAAAUGUCCCCUCCAGAGACCUCAGGGACCAGAAAGGAAGCUGGGACUCCUAUCCAGCAGCCAGGGCCACUAUCUCCUGUGUCUCCAUAGCUCACACCAGGCCUCAAACUGCUCCCUGGACAGCGGCUGCAGGAGGACAGAGGUGGAUGUCAAGAUGGGGGGACAGGGACUGGAUGUGGAGAGACCUUCCCCCAAGUUCACCAGGGGACCACUUUUACUUCUUACAUUAAUUUUUUUUUUUUUUUUUUUUUUUUACUAUGAGUAGGUAAUGCCUUUAAAGUAACCCAUAAGAAACAAGAAGCUCUCACUUUAGAUCUGACCAAGUCUUUCCACCGAGGGCUGAUUUAGGAAUAGAAGAAACACUGACUUCUCUUGGGGGGGAAGAAAUGAGGGGGUGCCCCAGAGAAGCCGGCUUCUGCCUGGAAGGGGUCAGGAUGGGGGAAGCUGGAGGCUGCUGUGGGACGGCGCCCCCCUCAAGGGCCAGUGGAGGAAAUGUGAGCUCAUCUGUUUAUAUAGAAAUCGCUACGCGCAGGGAAGCACAACAUUGCUAACAAUAGGUCUUUAAAAACCAGGAAAUUUCAAGCCUGUUCAGAAUCUUAUUUUCCUAUAACACAACAUUUUCACAGAAGAUACUGAUUUGGAGUGAUUUGUUUAAAAAAUAUCAGAUUGUGUUAGUGUUUUACAAAUUGUCUUUAGGAAUAAUUAUAAAAAUGGCACUGUGUUUUGAAUAAUUUGAGAUUUAAA